rnacentral:rRNA from 1 species
CCUACGGGAGGCAGCAGUGAGGAAUAUUGGUCAAUGGGCGGAAGCCUGAACCAGCCAAGUAGCGUGCAGGAUGACGGCCCUACGGGUUGUAAACUGCUUUUAUACGGGAAUAACGCGCCUUACGUGUAGGGCUUUGCAUGUACCGUAUGAAUAAGGACUGGCUAAUUCCGUGCCAGCAGCCGCGGUAAUACGGCAGGUCCGGGCGUUAUCCGGGUUUAUUGGGUUUAAAGGGAUCGUAGGCCGGAUGUCAAACGUGCUGGGAAAUGUUCGGGCCAAACCCGGGCCUUGCAGCGCGAACUGGCGUGCUUGAGUGCGCGGAAAGCAGGCGGAAUUCGUGGUGUAGCGGUGAAAUGCUUAGAUAUGACGAAGAACCCCGAUUGCGAAGGCAGCUUGCUGCAGCGGAACUGACGCUGAUGCUCGAAAGCGCGGGUAUCGAACAGGAUUAGAUACCCCAGUAGUC